CACAGGCGGGGCCCAGCGCCUACAGGUCCUCCGUGCUCAGCUUCUUACGGGUGGCCCGGGCUGUCUUCCCGAGAGCCCCAGUCUUUCUUUUCUAGGGGCUGUUGACAAGCAGAGCACAUACAGAGGAGAUGGGCUCAGGGCGGCUGAAGGCCCUGGAGACCCUGAGCUGCCAAAGGGAAGGCCCGGGGGAACAAGCACUGUCUUCCCAGGCCUUCAGCUGUCAGAGGGAUCUGCUUAGGACUUGGAUCUGACCCGCCGUGGCCUGCUCAGCCCCCCGCAGCGCUGGAGAUGGAGUCCUGGUGGCUCAGGCAGACAGGCCCUUGGCGGUGUCCUGUCCUCCAUGUAGGCCAUCAAAUCCCUGUCACUACCACCCCAUUUCAGGAGCAAGCGGGAGCAGCCCUGCUCUAAAACCCUCACUGGUGCCCCCUGGUGAGGCCCUGCCCUUCAGCUUUUCCUAAAGACCUUCCAGCCAUGCCUCAGAGCUCCCCACAUCCAGGAUCCUCUUCCAUGCUCCUGCCAACCUUGUCCUGUCCCUGUUUGGGAAGUCAUCCUGGACUCAAUUGCAGUUGCUUCUGUGUCAGCCUCACCAGCACAAGGCCAGGCAGAGGUGGCACCAGGGUGGAGAAAGAACUUGCUCAGGUCACAGCACGCAGAGCUUUUUAAAUGAGCUCACUCCUCCAGUGACCGUGGUGACAUUAAUUCACAGACCCCCAUCUUUGGUGAGGCCUCAGGCUGAGGUCAGGACCUUUCAACAGCCCUGGCAGGAGCCUCUUGAAGCCCCUCAUCCACCUGGCAGUUGUUUGAACUCUUAGAAAUUAUGCUUUCUCAUCUCGUCCUAAUGAACUAGUGUGCCCAGUUAGCACCAGAAGCUCUGUCCCUGUGAUCUGAGCUGGAGUCUGCCAAGCUUGCUUUUCUGGCUGUGAGACCUGGAUGAAGUGCCUUCCUUCUGGGCCUCGGUUUCCCUAUCAGUACUGUGGAUGUUUGGAGUUUUCGUGUCUAAGGGUUCUCCGGGCUUGGAAAGUCUAGCGCAGUGCCACCCGACAGAAAUACAACAUAAGCGUGUUGUACACUUCUGAAUCUAAUGGCCAGGUUAAAAGGGG
rnacentral:lncRNA from 1 species